GACGAACGCUGGCGGCGUGCUUAACACAUGCAAGUCGAACGGCAAGGCCCUGCUUUUGUGGGGUGCUCGAGUGCCGAACGGGUGAGUAACACGUAAGUAACCUGCCCUUGACUUUGGGAUAACUUCAGGAAACUGGGCCUACUCUCGGAUAGGAGCUCCCGCUGCAUGGUGGGGGUUGGAAAGUCUCGGCGGUCGGGGAUGGACUCACGGCUUAUCAGCUUGUUGGUGGGGGAGUGGCUUACCAAGGCUUUGACGGGUAGCCGGCCUGGGAGGGGGACCGGCGACAUGGGGACUGAGAGACGGCGCAGACUCCUACGGGGGGCAGCAGGGGCGAAUAUUGCACAAUGGGCGGAAGCCUGAUGCGGCAACGCCGCGGGUGGGAUGACGGCCUGCGGGUUGUAAACCGCUUUCGCCUGUGACGCAGCGUGAGUGACGGUAAUGGGUAAAUAAGCACCGGCUAACUACGUG
rnacentral:rRNA from 1 species